UGAGGAGAAGUCAAUGGUGAUGAAAAGCACAAUUCUUGCCUUUCUCUCUGUCCUAUGCCCUCCUUUCCCUUGCAUCCGGUGUCUCCCAGGGCACAGUGGCUAGUCUGGCUCCAAGGUUCUCAGACAAGCCUGGAUCCCUGUGGCCUGAGCGGGAGGAAGCUGUGGGCUGCCCCUCCCCUCUCAGCUGGGAAGUCCCAGAGAAGGAGAGGUUUCGGUGAGUGGGCUCCUCUGCCAGAUGGUAUUUGAUACGAAUAUUGAUGUUAAUGGUGUUUAGAUAACGACACUGUCUGUGGCAAGGGCUUUAUUACCAUUAUGAACAGCACAGUCCUGGGGGGAGUCAUUCCGUUUAGUUACCUGUGUGUGCGUGCAUGUGCACGCGUGUGUGUGUGUGUGUGUGUGUGUGUGUGUGUGUGUGUGUGUGUGUGUGUGUGAAAUGUUUAACCGACUAUUACUGGGGGUCGGUUUUCUAGGAAACUUGGGUGAUUCCUGUCUUCUCAGGCAGGUCCUGAAAUCAGCCCCUACAGUGACGCUGGGGUGCCUUGGAGGGGCCUAAUGGCAGAGGUUACCCACUUUCCUUUUGUGCACAGAUGGGUCACCCAAGCUUUUCCCAGCAUUCCCGCUCUUGGAGGGUGAACUGUUGCAACCUCUCUCCAUAACCAGAUACAUCAAAACCCUACCUUUUCCACUUCCGGGGGUGGGGGGUUUCAGAUUCUUCCUAUUAAAAAUGAAUAAUAAAAUCCUCCGCUUUCAUCGUAAUGGGGUUAGUAGGAGGUGCCUAGCUUUUUAUAGUUACCUAGCUGAUCGAAAAAGGCAGACGAAGCCAUCACAAAAUUAAGGAAGAGGUCAUCGUUAGAAGACCAGAGACUGGAGUCUUUUAAAAGCAUUUCUGGUCUUAAUUCAAAGCGCCUCUCUGGAGGGCUUUGGGAAGCGGGUCCAUGGGUUUUCUUUGCUGAACCAAAGCUUUGGCAAGGUGGGCAACAUGUAGCAGGCUCCUCUUGGAGUCCUGAGGAAGGAUGGGUCCCUUCACAGCAGAGAUGACAAUUUCAAGACGGAUUGUCUGGCCGAUGGUUAGGCUGGUUUUCCUCUAUCCUGCACAAGUCUGACCCCCUGUGAGAAAUGAACGAACGCAUGAACGGGACCUCAGGUGUUCUCAGAGCCUUGUCAAAUGGCUUUGGAGAUGGGGCUGGUGGUUGCUAUGGACCAAAUGCUCCUGGGAUCUUAGCUAUCCGGAGACGUGGGAAAUCAGAAGGCUGGGCAGAACUUCUGGAAAAGGCUUUGAAAGAGAUGUUGUGUGUGCUCUUGCUGCGUACGGCCUGGCCCUGAAUCAGAAUACAAAACAGAGAGACGCUCUUUUACUCCUCUCAGACUAAUGAUUUUGUCCUUUCUCUCUCUCCUCCCCACUUUAUUUCUUCAUCUAUAACAUUGCAAGAGGGCAGCCAGACUAAUAAAACUGCACUAAGCUUGACUAAUGCCAGCCAUUGAUCCGAGGGUGGGACCCGAUUAAUCAAUGGGAUUUUAGCGGUGUUUGCUUCUCCCAAGAGACAUGAGGCCUAAAGACGGCUCUUGCCACUGCAGAGGGAGGAUCUGCGAGUCUCCGUCUGUGAGUUCUGGGAGGAGGCAAGAGCUUCAGAGACCCAAUUCUUUCAUGAAGUCCCUCAAAACACCCACCUAUUUGAGGAAUACAUGACUGGCUAGGAUCCACAUCUCCAUGACAGAAGACAAGAACAAAAAAAAAAUGAGGAUGACAGUACAACAGUAGCAUCAGCAACAACAACAACGACGCCGACAAUGACGCAAACCUCCAACUCCCCCGUGGGCAGGCAGAUCUGAUGGGUUCCAUCACUGGCUUCUGGAGGGAGCGAUGGCCUCACCUUGGGAGGACUUAUGCAUACCCAUCAUCAAUGCCUCAAGAUUCCACACACUCACCACAAAGCCACCCAAGCGUCUCCCAUAUGCCAUCUUGACUAUUCUUGGUGUGACCGGGGAGCAGGGCAGGCUCCUCCUUCAGCGCCCUCGAAUGCUUGCCUUUCAUCUCUGUGAGGACAGAGAGACGGCACCUUGGUGACUGAGCCCUGUGCGGGCUGCUCAGCUGAACCAGCUGGGAGUUGGCCCAGAGCCAUGGAGUGUAAGAAACUUUCAAAUUUCAAAACCGCCCUGGGCCAAUUUAAUAAACUUCUGCCACCUCUAUUCUCUCCACAAUUUUGAAUUCUCAAAUAUUCACACACACACACACACACACACACACACACACACACACACACACACACACACCCAUCUAAGAUGUGCACAGAGAAUGGAAGAAUUUUGGAAUGUUAAUAAUGCAGAAUUUUACAGCCUAGCAAGGUGAAUUCUCAAGGGGUUAGGGUUAACAUUUGCUUUCUCUUUUCCCAAGAUAACAAUGGAGAAACCAGUCCACACAGCAAGCGGGAGUGCAAGAGAUGAGCCUCCCACCCCUCUGAAAGGGACUAAGUUGUCCCCAGACUCAGCACUGGGGACAACAACCAUAACACUUGCAUGUAGUAAGGUCUGCAGUACAGGGAAAGGGAGUGGGGCAUAAGCCAAAGUCAGUUUCUCAGGGGGGCGACUUGUAGGCUGUGAAUAAGAGCGUUUCUUCCAGGAGAUCUGAAAGAGGCAAGAAACAUUCUCCUUCUCCCGGUGGGACAAUUCUUAGCAAUCAGCCUCAGAGCCAUCAGCCUCAGAGCCGUGCCCCUGACAUGUCUUUUCCCAGCCAACCUCAGAAGCAGCAGGGUGCAGUGUCAGAAGGCGACAAAGUCAGAGCUCUCUCUCUGUUCUAGAUACCGGCUCUGGAGCGCCUGGGGCUCUGAGCAUGCCCACUGUGCGGCUGUCUCUGCUUCCACAGUCCCAAGUGAGCUUCAGAGACCUCUGAGCCUAGGUCAAGUUCCAGACCAAGAGACAACCAUCCUGAUCUAGGGAGUAGGAGGUUGUGGAGGAAACAAAGUAGCUGGAGAAAGGAAUCCGUGGUUUAGACCAACCAAGCUGGGAUUCCAGAGCUCACAUCUGGCCGAUCAGGACCUCCUGUGAUUUCAGACCCAGGCCCUCUGACGCCCUCUACUGGCCUCCGUGGGCACACACAUAAAAAAAAAUUUAAAUUAAAAAGUAACUAGUGCUCACACUUGUUUUCUGACAUUUGUUUUAUUUCCUCGUCCCCACCCCCUUUUCGAGAUGGGGGGGGGUCUGGCUAUGUAGCUUAGGCUAGCCUCAAACUCGCUAUGAAGCACAGGAUAGCUCCUCUUGCUUCAGUCACCCAAGUGCUGGGGUUGCAGCUGUGAGUCACCACAUCCAGCUCAUUUUAUCUCUUUUGAGCUUCUCGGUUUUGGCAGAGAAAAAAAAUUCAGUGCUCGGAACCAGUUGACUCGGAACGUAAUUUCUCAGCUGGCCCUUGCCCUCUGGGCUCACUUGAGCGUCCAAGGAGAUGGUCUAGAUACAAAAUCCUGGAGCGGCACAGACAUCUCCCCCCCCCCCCCGGGGGACUCUCCGGGUCAGUUUUAUCAGUUAAAAAAAUGACCCAGAAGUUAUUUUUAAGAAUGAAGGGUGCCAACCUUGUGUUUGCAGCUAUGCAGGGAUUUUUUUUUUUUUAAACCACACUUCCCCCUUUCGUUUUGCUGAGGCAAUGACUGGGGUGCCUACGUGAUGCAUCGGCAGCUUCCGGAAUCUCAGAGUCUCAGAGGGACGUGAAGGAAUGGCCAAGGUUUCCUGCACAGAUGCGUUCCUUGCAGCCGAGACUGGCCUGGUGCUCUAUGCGGCCAAGGAUGACCUUGAACUCCUGAUUCUUCUGCCUUCAUCUUUGAGCACUGUGCUAAGAAAGAUAAACCAGUCUCCGAGAGACAAAUCCUGCCCAAGAAUCUGCUGUGUGACGUUCCCUGGUUAGAUGAGCAUGUGUCAAUCUUCUGGAGGAACAAAGAAAGCUGAAUAAAGAUUGGAUGUGACUGCGUCAGAACUCUGUAAUGUACACGUGCCAUGUGAUUGACUGAGAAGAACAAUCAUGACAAGGGUAUUGGGUCUAAUGGGGUCUCCAGCCACAGGGCAAAAGUCACCAGGCUGGAAAACAUGUUCGCUCUGAGCCGAGCCUUCUGGGUUGAUAAUAGACUGGACGGUCCUUGAAGGAACAGCCUUGUGAGCUAGCAUUCCAGGUCCCCCUAGUGCUUACCUGUGGGUGCAAAGACCUCCGUGCCUCUGUAAUAGCUGGCUUCAUGGGAGAACAAAUAGGAUUUUCUGUCUUAAGCCAAAGAGAUAUUGGUGCUUCUGAAGCGUCAUGUAGCCCGUAUUGCCCAGUAUUUCCGUAACAUUUCGUUUUUACUUUGGAAAUUUUAUGUAUUUACUCACUUUUGUUCUGUCGUGUGUGUGUGUGUGUGUGUGUGUGUGUGUGUGUACGCGCA